GGUUCCAUGGUGUAAUGGUUUAGCCUCCUGGACUUUGAAUCCAGUGAUCCAAGUUCAAAUCUCGGUGGAACCU
rnacentral:tRNA from 1 species